GCAGAAAUGAGGUCUGUCGCUGCGUGAUUAAAUCACGGAGAGGAAAGUCCGGGCAACACAGAGCACCGCACAUCCUAACGGGAAGCCGGCGGCAACGUCGGGGCAAGUGUGACAGAAAAUAACCGCCUCCUUUAUGGGAAUCAUUCCCGGAGGUAAGGGUGAAAAGGCGGGGUAAGAGCCCACCGGCUCCGGUGGCGACAUCGGAGGCCGCACAUCCUGCGGGUUGCAAGGCCAAAUAUACCGGCAGCGAAGGAUUGCUCGUCCAUUGCCGGGGGGUAGGCUGCUCCAACCGUCGGGAGACCGACGGUGUAGAUAAAUGACAGACUCCGGCCUGUGGCCGGAACAUAACCCGGCUUAUAUCUUUUCUGCAUUC
rnacentral:RNase_P_RNA from 1 species